AUUGAACGCUGGCGGCAGGCCUAACACAUGCAAGUCGAGCGGUAACAGAGAGAAGCUUGCUUCUUUGCUUACGAGCGGCGGAGGUGUGAGUCAUGCCUAGGAAUCUGCCUAGUAGUGGGGGAUAACUUGCCGGAAGUGACGCUAAUACCGCAUACGUACUACGGGAGAACGGUGGGUACCUCCUGGCCUCUCUGUAAUAGAUGAGUCUAGGGCGGAUUAUGUAUUUGGUGGGGUAAUGUUUCACCAAGAGCACGAUCCGUAAUUGGUCUGAGAGGAUUGUCCGGCACACUGGAGAUGGGGACCCGUCCAGAAUCCUACGGGGAGCAGCAGUGGGGAAUAUUGCAAAAAGGGGGGGAAGCCUGAUGCAGCCAUGCCGCGUGUGUGAAGAAGGUCUUAGGAUUGUAAAGCACUUUAAGUUGGGAGGAAGAGCAGUUAACUAAUAUGUGCCUGUUUUGACGUUACCGAAAGAAUAAGCACCGGCUAACUUCGUG
rnacentral:rRNA from 1 species